rnacentral:rRNA from 1 species
AUUGAACGCUGGCGGAAUGCUUUACACAUGCAAGUCGAGCGGCAGCGCGGGGGCAACCCUACGCGGCGAGCGGCGAACGGGUGAGUAAUACAUCGGAACGUGUCCUUAAGUGGGGGAGUAGCUCGGCGAAAGCCGGAUUAAUACCGCAUAAGCUCUGAGGAGGAAAGCGGGGGCGUCCGCAAGGACCUCGCGCUGUUGGAGCGGCCGAUGUCGGAUUAGCUAGUUGGGGGGGUAAAGGCCCACCAAGGCGACGAUCCGUAGCUGGUCUGAGAGGAUGAUCAGCCACACUGGGAACUGAGACACGGUCCAGACUCCUACGGGA